rnacentral:rRNA from 1 species
GAGUUUGAUCAUGGCUCAGGAUGAACGCUGGCGGCGUGCUUAACACAUGCAAGUCGAACGGACCCAUAUUGAAACCUGGUGAUAUAUGGGUUAGUGGCGGACGGGUGAGUAACGCGUGGGCAACCUGCCUUACACAGGGGGAUAACACUUAGAAAUAGGUGCUAAAACCGCAUAAGCGCACAGCUUCGCAUGAAGCGGUGUGAAAAACUCCGGUGGUGUAAGAUGGACCCGCGUCUGAUUAGCUUGUUGGCGGGGUAACGGCCCACCAAGGCGACGAUCAGUAGCCGGCCUGAGAGGGCGGACGGCCACAUUGGGACUGAGACACGGCCCAGACUCCUACGGGAGGCAGCAGUGGGGAAUAUUGCACAAUGGGGGAAACCCUGAUGCAGCGACGCCGCGUGAGUGAAGGAGUAAUUCGUUACGUAAAGCUCUAUCAGCAGGGAAGAAACACUGACCUUACGGUCAGCAGACGGUACCUGAGUAAGAAGCCCCGGCUAACUACGUGCCAGCAGCCGCGGUAAUACGUAGGGGGCAAGCGUUAUCCGGAUUUACUGGGUGUAAAGGGAGCGUAGACGGUGCGCCAAGUCUGGAGUGAAAUGCCGCAGCUUAACUGCGGAACUGCUUUGGAAACUGGCGAACUAGAGUGCGGGAGGGGUAAGCGGAAUUCCUAGUGUAGCGGUGAAAUGCGUAGAUAUUAGGAGGAACACCGGUGGCGAAGGCGGCUUACUGGACCGUAACUGACGUUGAGGCUCGAAAGCGUGGGGAGCAAACAGGAUUAGAUACCCUGGUAGUCCACGCCGUAAACGAUGAUUACUAGGUGUCGGGGACCCAAGGGUCUCCGGUGCCGCCGCAAACGCAUUAAGUAAUCCACCUGGGGAGUACGUUCGCAAGAAUGAAACUCAAAGGAAUUGACGG